rnacentral:lncRNA from 1 species
AACUUUUCAGACAAUUUCUCCAAAGUAUUCUCUUUUAGUUGGUGGACAGUGGUUUGUUCAGGUGGGGAGGAAGAUAAAUUCUCUUUAAGUUGGUGGAACUCUUCAGAAAAUUUCUCCACAGCUGAGAUGUAGGCCUGUAAGGAAGAGGGGAGACUUCGAACUACCAGAGUUGUUUAGCCACUUAAUCCACUGUGGGUUCCUCAUCCUCUUUCCAGGCCAUUAUUGCCAAUGAGCUGGCAUAUGAUGAUGGUGCACUCCGUACAAACUUCCACCACAUGGGUCGUGUACAUGCCCCAUGCUGGACACCAAAAAGGACUGUUGUGCUGGCAGCUAAACAGCACACAGCUGUUCGCUCACCCUCCCUCCUCCCUCCCUCUCUGGGAUGGGGGAGAGAAAUGGGAAAGUGAAGCCUGUGAGUUGAGAUAAAGACAAUUUAUUAAGACAGGAAAACAAUUACAAUAAUAAUGAUGAUGAUAGUACUAUUAAUAAUAAUGUAUAUGAAACAAGUGAUGCACAAUGCAAUUGCUCACCACCCACUGAUCAAUGCCCAGCCUAACCCUAAGCAGUCUGCCCCCCCCCACCCCAGCUAGCUACUCCUAAAUAUUGUUUAGCAUGAUGUCAGAGGGUAUGGAAUAACCCAGUUUGGGUCAGCUGUCCUGGGUCUGUCCUCUCCCAGCUCUUGCUGCACCCCCAGCCUGCCUGUUGGUGAGAAGUUGAAAUGUCCUUGGCUUGGUGUAAGCACUGCAACAAUUAAAACAUCAGCAUGUUAUUAGCACUCUUCUCAUCCUAAGCCGAAACAUAGCACCCUACCAGCUACUAGGAAGAAAAUUAACUCUGUCCUAACUGAAACCAGGACAGUGGCUAAUAACAGAUCUGCUUUUCUCUGUGUCUAUGUGAACACCUGCUUUCUCUCCUGACACUUGUAUGUUGGUUGUUAAUCUAAAAGGUGAGAGGAAGGAGCAGGGAGUUGUUCACUUGGGUGGAGGGCUUCUUAAGGGCAUUUGUACAUGUGACACUUGUUUGCUCUAUUGAGUCUGCAUUUAGACUUGUCAUAAGUAGGGAAAAGGAGGGCAUACCUAUCUUAUUUUACGGAAAAACUCAGUACAUGUCAGAUUAAAGAUCUUGUCGAUCUUGAGUUUCUUUCAUAAUUGCAAAGCUGUGUUUGUACCCGAACAGGAAACAUACCCCACCAUUGUGAAUCUUGCAUAUAAUUCAUCAUGUUGAAAAGUGUGAUCUUAUUUGUGAAGUUGAAAAUGUUAAGGUUUGAGUUUCAGUAGUUGCACAAAGCCUCAGAAUUGAAGAAAUCCUGCAUUGUGGAGCAAGCUGUCACUCAUUCUCAUCCAGAACAAGAUGAGAAACCUCCCGACUCUGGUAUGUUAUGAGUAAUACUAUAAGUCAUUAAAUUAAACAGGCUCAUGGAGCAAGGUAGCCUUGCCCCAGAAUGAACCUUUUCCCUGCACUGUUUUGAUAUUACUUCAUUCGUAUGCUUGCUUAAUUUAGAACACUUAGUGUUAUGCUCGGAGACACAUAACCCAUUUCUUAUCCUUGGAUGAUAGCUAACUCUUUUUUGCUUCAAAUUCAGGCUCUGCACAUCAGAAGUCAAGCGUUCAUUAAUAUAUCUUAAAGUGUAAAUUCUACCCUUCCUUCUCUGAUUACUCCUUUACUCACUCUUCCCUUUCCUUCACUGGAAGAACUUAGGCUAUUGGAAUAAAUAUUUCGUAAAAGCAAUCACAUGGAAAUUUUUGGUCACUUUGAGGCCAGUUUUAAAAUAAUUUUGGUAAAAUGUUUUCCUAUCCAGUGUGGUAUUCCAUCCAUUUUCAUAGGCAAAGCAAGACUUGCUUUAGUUUCACUCAAAAGAAAAGCUACCAGAUACUGGAAGAUAGUUUGUAACUGAAGGAGUACAAAUGUAAUA